CGCCGUUCGGCGCCUGCACGUCGCCCGACGUCGUGACGCCGGCGUGCCUCCGCGCGGGGCUGUAAGGGAGUCACGUGAGGGGAAGCGCUCUCCAGCAGUGUCAGUCUGUAGCUCGAAACAGCGUUGACAUUUAGCUUCCUAUCAAAUGGCAAAUAAUAUUGCAACUGUUUUUGAAAGUCUGAAAGUCGAAAUAGAGUCCCCGUGUUGUUAGUGAUAUUGCUAAUAUUUUAGUGCACCUGUAAGGAAACGGGUGGUAAAAUUGAUUGCAAUAAUGUAUCCUGGGAAAGUUUGGGACAGGAGAGAAGGUGAAAAAAAGUUACACACUGAACUCCCAGAAGUCUCCAUCAUCUUCAAGUUACGAUGUCAACAAAUACUGACCUUGCAGAGGGCAGAACUCUGGCUAAGUAAGGACCUCUCCAUGUGGUGUCUUCACACAGCCUCUCCAGCAUGACAGCCUCAGGAUAGCUGGUCUUAUUAUAUGGCAAGUGGUCCAAGAACGAGUGUUGCAAGAGACCCGAGCAGAAGCUCAAUAGCUUCUUCUUUAUUACCCAACUCUGAGAAUCUGAGAACACCACUUCUACCACAUUUUAUUGGUUAAGCAAGGCACUAAGGCCAGCCCAUAUCCAAGCCGCAUAGAGGGGAGACGGUAGUUCCAGGAUGCAUCAACCUUGACAAUCAACAACUUCCACCCCAGUGCUACUGCUGCAACUCCUCUUCAUGGUAUUCCCCAACACCGAGCCUCCUUCUCACUAGAAGAAGCCUUCUUUAAGGGUAGAAAAUGAUGAUACGUUUUUCUCGAAGUUGUUCAGUGGCAGCUCUGUUCUGCCAAUAUUUUUUGAAGGCUGCACAUAAAUAUCAUUUAGUGUUUCCAAAAAGGUACGUUUCUAACAACAGUAUUUUGGACAGCCACAGACAGUCUUUUGGGAGAAACAGUUUGAGAAAUGAAGGAAAACAGGGCUGGAUGUGAGAAUUGGUGGUCCAAGCUAGGUUCUGUCACAUAUUAGGUGUGUGAGUUUGCAAGAGUCAUGUAGCUUUCUGAGCCUCUGUUUUUAUACCAAAGGAUCACAGUAAGGAUGUCAUAAUCUUAUGUGAUUCUUAAACUGAUACACACCAUUAGAAAUCCUGGGCUCUAAGUAUGCAAAUUUAAAAGUAGUGAUUGUUAUCCAUCCAUCUAAGUAUUUAUCUUCUAAUUUAACACAUACAUGUUUGCCUAAUUGUCAGAUACAGGGUGAAUUGUUUCAGGUAAAACUGUUGAUCAUCUCACAAUCUCUUUAACACCUGACAGAUCACCAGAAACAGAGUAAGAAAUUAUGGAUGAAAAUUCUCCUUAUUCCCACUGUUAAUUGCAGUCAGAAGCAACCAAAGAGACCCCUCCACCCCCCCUA